UCACUUUCCAAUAUAGAAUUAUUAAAAUAAAAUAAAAAGGGUAAAAACCGGUUCCUGCUCGGAGCAGGAUAGUACACACGCACACAAUUCACAGCACUGAAAGAAAGUCUCCGCAGCUCGUGGAAUUUGGAUGGCUUCUUCUUUGUCGUCGUCGUCGUCAUCAUCUUUAAUCCAAGGAGGCUCACUUCCUUCAUUCUCUGCAAUUCGCUCACGCCAUUCAUCUUCGGCACAUUCUUUUCUAUGUUUGACCAAGUUACCGGAUAAUGGCCGGAGGAGCUCAGGCUACCGUCGAAUGGCCUGCACCGCUAUGGUACAACAGCAGGCUAUACAUGGGGCUUCAGCUAUUUAUGCUAAGGAAAUGGAGAGACUCUCUGCUAAAGAAUCUCUGCUUCUCGCUUUCAAAGAUUCUGGCGGUUUUGAAGCUUUGGUCACUGGAAAGACAACAGAUAUGCAGCGGAUUGAUGUUAACGAAAGGAUAAAUGGUCUUGAGCGGCUCAAUCCAACUCCUCGACCAACUACGUCACCGUUUUUGGAAGGUAGAUGGAACUUUGAGUGGUUUGGAGCUGGAAUCCCUGGUUUAUUUGCUGCCAGAUUUAUAUUCGAGAGAUUUCCUAAAAAUUUCGCUUAUUUGUCUAAAAUGGACAUGGUGAUUAAGGAUGGAAAUGCAAAGGUUACAGCAAAUAUGAAACUAUUAUACUCGAUAGAAAGCAAAUUCAUUCUGCUCUCCAAGUUAACUGUGGAGGGACCUCUUAGAAUGAAAGAGGAAUAUGUUGAAGGGAUUCUUGAGACACCUACCAUCAUUGAAGAAACAGUACCAGAACAGCUAAAAGGUGCAUUUGGUCAGGCUGUCCAAACAGUGCAACAACUUCCUGUUCCUAUUAGGGAUUCCUUUUCUAGCGGGCUGAAAAUUCCUCUAACCAGUACUUUCCAGAGACUCUUCAUGAUUUCGUAUCUUGAUGAUGAAAUACUUAUAGUAAGGGAUGCUGCUGGAGCACCUGAAGUUCUUACAAGGCUGGAUGCACCAGCCUCUCCAAUGGCAGAACCAACUGCAGAGUAUGAGAGCUAGAGAUGUGAAAACUGACUGUUUAUUGUUUUUUUCUUAACCUUCUAAUACAAUGUAGACUCAACAUGUUCUCAAGGUAAUUGCUGAGAUUAAGUUGUUGGUUUCAAUACAAAAUUAGUGGGUGGAUUUGUUUGAGGGUC